CAAGUGUUCCAAUACUUUUAGCGCUAGACAGUGUUCCAAUACUUUUAGAGCCAGACCAUGUUCCAAUUCUUUGAGCUAGACAGCGUUCCAAUACUUUUGGAGCUAGACAGAGUUCCAAUACUUUUGCAGCUAGACAGUGUUCCAAUAAUCGUAGAGCCAGACCAUGUUCCAAUACUUUUGGACAGUGUUCCAAUAUUUUUUAGAGUUAGACAGUGUUCCAAUACUUUUAGCGCUAGACGGUGUUCCAAUACUUUUAGAGCCAGACCAUGUUCCAAUACUUUUGGACAGUGUUCCAAUAUUUUUUAGAGUUAGACAGCGUUCCAAUACUUUUAGUGCUAGACAGCAUUCCAAUACUUCUUUAGAGCUAGACAGAGUUACAAUACUUUUUUAGAAUUAGACAGCGUUCCAAUAUUUUUAGAGCUAGACAGUAUUCCAAUAUUUUUUAAAGCUAGACAGUGUUCCAAUACAUUUAGAGCUAGACAGUAUUCCAAUAUUUUUUAAAGCUAGACAGUGUUCCAAUACUUUUCAAAGUAGACAGUGUUCCAAUACUUUUAUAGCUAGACAGCGGUCCUAUACUUUGAGGUAAACAGCGUUCCAAUACUUUCAGAGCAAGACAGCAUUCCAAUAUUUUUAGAGCUUGUCAGCGUUCUAAUACUUUUAGAGCUAGAGAGCGUUCCAAUACUUUUCAUGCUAGACAGCAUUCCAAUAUUUUUAUAGCUAGACAGUGUUCCAAUACUUUGAGAUGGACAGUGUUCCAAUACUUUUAGAGCCAGACAGUAUUCCAAUAUUUUUUAGAGCUAGACAGUGGUCCAAUACUUUGAGCUAGACAGCGUUCCAAUACUUUUGGAGCUAGACAGAGUUCCAAUAUUUUUAGAGCUAGACAGCAUUCCAAUACUUUUAGAGCUAGACAGCCUUCCAAUAUUUUCAGAGCUAGACAGCCUUCCAAUAUUUUCAGAGCUAGACAGCCUUCCAGUAGUUUUGGAGCUAGACAGAGUUCAAAUACAUUUGGAGCUAGACAGAGUUCCAGUACUUUUGGACCUAGACAGCAUUCCUUUUUUUUGAGCUAGACAGCAUUCCAAUACUUUGAGCUAGAGAGUGUUCCAAUAUUUUUGGAGCUAGACUGCUUUCCAAUACUUUGAGAAUGCUGGGUGCUUGCUAGACUGUUACUACAUAGUUUAGAGGGUGUUCUGGGUUGUUUCUAGGGUGUAGCUAGAGUAUUCUGGGUGGUUGCUAGUGUGCUGCUAGGUGGCCGCUAAUGUGUUCUGAGUGGUUGCUAGGGCAUUGCUAGGCAGUUGCUAGGGUGUUCUGGGUGGUUGCUAGGCAGUUGCUUGGUGGUUGCUAGGGUGUUCUGGGAGGUUACUAGGGUGCUGCUAGGGGUUUGCUUGGGUGCUCUGUGUGGUUGCUAGGGUUUUCUGAGUGGUUGCUAGGGCAUUGCUAGGCAGUUGCUAGGGUGUUCUGGGUGGUUACUAGGGUGCUGCUAGGGGUUUGCUUGGGUGCUCUGUGUGGUUGCUAGGGUUUUCUGAGUGGUUGCUAGGCGGUUGCUUGGUGAUUGCUAUAGUGUUCUGGGUGGUUGCUAGGGUGUUGUGGGUGGUUGCAAGGGUGUUGCUAGGGUUUUAUGGGUGGUUGCUUGACUGUUGCUAGGGUGUUGUGGGUGGUUACUUGUCUUGCUUGGGUGCUAUGGGUGGUUGUUAGGUUGUUAUGGGUGGUUGCUAGGGUAUUAUGGGUGGUUGCUGGGGUGUUAUAAUUGUUGCUAGGUUGUUGCUACGAUGUUAUGGGUAGUGGUUAGC
ensembl:lncRNA